GACGAACGCUGGCGGCGUGCUUAACACAUGCAAGUCGAACGCUGAAGCUCAGCUUUUGUUGGGUGGAUGAGCGGCGAACGGGUGAGUAACACGUGAGUAACCUGCCUCCUUCUUUGGGAUAACGCCCGGAAACGGGUGCUAAUACUGGAUAUUCACUGGUCUUCGCAUGGGGGUUGGUGGAAAGGGUUUUUCUGGUGGGGGAUGGGCUCGCGGCCUAUCAGCUUGUUGGUGGGGUGAUGGCCUACCAAGGCUUUGACGGGUAGCCGGCCUGAGAGGGUGACCGGUCACAUUGGGACUGAGAUACGGCCCAGACUCCUACGGGAGGCAGCAGUGGGGAAUAUUGCACAAUGGGCGCAAGCCUGAUGCAGCGACGCCGCGUGAGGGAUGGAGGCCUUCGGGUUGUGAACCUCUUUCGCUCAUGGUCAAGCCGCAACAAUGGUUGUGGUGAGGGUAGUGGGUAAAGAAGCGCCGGCUAACUACGUG
rnacentral:rRNA from 1 species